CUUUAUUCGGUUAUUCUUUUACUGUCUAAUUAGUUAUCCAGCGAUUUCUGAUAUAUGUGGCAGGUUACACGAAAGAGACGAGAUGAUUUUCCAGCAACUCUGGGCCUCAUGAGGGAGGAUCAGGCUGGUUACACCAUCCAGCUUCUUUGGGUUGAUACGAUUUGCAUCACCUAACCUUGUGUCUGGGGUCAAGACAACAUAAGGACUGACAACACCGCUGUGGUCACAUACGUUGGUCAGAGAAGAUUACUCUCUCACCCCCUGUGCAG